UACGGCCACACUGGAACUGAGACACGGUCCAGACUCCUACGGGAGGCAGCAGCUAAGAAUCUUCCGCAAUGGGGGAAACCCUGACGGAGCGACGCCGCGUGGAUGAUGAAGGCCGUAAGGUUGUAAAAUCCUUUUGUCGGUGAAGAAUAAGGGAGGGAGUGGAAAGCCCUCCUGAUGACGUUAGCCGACGAAUAAGCCCCGGCUAAUUACGUGCCAGCAGCCGCGGUAAUACGUAUGGGGCAAGCGUUGUUCGGAUUUAUUGGGCGUAAAGGGCGUGUAGGCGGCUCAUCAAGUCUGGUGUGAAAAUGCAGGGCUCAACCCUGCAAAUGCGCUGGAAACUGGUGGGCUUGAGUUCUUGAGGGGAAGCUGGAAUUCCAGGUGUAGGGGUGAAAUCUGUAGAUAUCUGGAAGAACACCGGUGGCGAAGGCGAGCUUCUAUCAGAGGACUGACGCUGAGGCGCGAAAGCGUGGGGAGCAAACAGGAUUAGAUACCCUGGUAGUCCACGCUGUAAACGAUGUGCACUAGGCGUGGGGCACGUACGUGUUCUGUGCCGUAGUUAACGUGUUAAGUGCACCGCCUGGGGAGUAUGCUCGCAAGGGUGAAACUCAAAGGAAUUGACGGGGGCCCGCACAAGCGGUGGAGCAUGUGGUUUAAUUCGAUUGUACACGAGGAACCUUACCAGGGCUUGACAUGUGCGUGAAUGUUCACGAGAGUGGGCAGCCCCGCAAGGGGCGCGCACACAGGUGCUGCAUGGCUGUCGUCAGCUCGUGUCGUGAGAUGUUGGGUUAAGUCCCGCAACGAGCGCAACCCUUACUGUCUGUUGCUAACAGGUUGUGCUGAGCACUCGGACGGAACUGCCGGUGACAAACCGGAGGAAGGUGGGGAUGACGUCAAGUCAUCAUGGCCCUUAUGUCCUGGGCUACACACGUGCUACAAUGGCAAGUACAAAGCGAAGCAAAACGGCGACGUCAAGCAAAUCGCAGAAAAGCUUGUCUCAGUGCGGAUUGGAGUCUGAAACCCGACUCCAUGAAGUUGGAAUCGCUAGUAAUCGCGCAUCAGCAUGGCGCGGUGAAUACGUUCCCGGGCCUUGUACACACCGCCCGUCACACCACCCGAGUUGGGGGUACCCGAAGUCAGUUGCCUAACCGCAAGGGGGGCGCUGCCGAAGGUAUGCCUGGUGAGGGGGGUGAAGUCGUAACAAGGUA
rnacentral:rRNA from 1 species